UACGUAGGAUGCAAGCGUUGUCCGGAUUUACUGGGCGUAAAGCGCGUGUAGGCGGCCCUGCAAGUCGGGUGUGAAAUCCCACGGCUCAACCGUGGAAGUGCACUCGAAACUGCAGGGCUAGAGUCCUGGAGAGGAAGGUGGAAUGCUUGGUGUAGAGGUGAAAUUCGUAGAUAUCAAGCGGAACACCGGUGGCGAAGGCGGCCUUCUGGACAGUGACUGACGCUGAGACGCGAAAGCGUGGGGAGCAAACAGG
rnacentral:rRNA from 1 species